GCUUAUCUCCCCCAAGAGUUCACAUCGACGGGGAGGUUUGGCACCUCGAUGUCGGCUCAUCGCAUCCUGGGGCUGUAGUCGGUCCCAAGGGUUGGGCUGUUCGCCCAUUAAAGCGGUACGCGAGCUGGGUUCAGAACGUCGUGAGACAGUUCGGUCCCUAUCCGUCGUGGGCGUAGGAAAUUUGAGAGGAGCUGUCCUUAGUACGAGAGGACCGGGAUGGACAUACCUCUGGUGUACCAGUUGUCGUGCCAACGGCAUAGCUGGGUAGCUAUGUAUGGACGGGAUAAGUGCUGAAAGCAUCUAAGCAUGAAGCCCCCCUCAAGAUGAGAUUUCCCAACUUCGGUUAUAAGAUCCCUCAAAGAUGAUGAGGUUAAUAGGUUCGAGGUGGAAGCGUAGCGAUACGUGGAGCUGACGAAUACUAAUCGAUCGAAGACUUAAUCAA
rnacentral:rRNA from 1 species